rnacentral:rRNA from 1 species
CCUACGGGAGGCAGCAGUGGGGAAUUUUGGACAAUGGGCGCAAGCCUGAUCCAGCCAUGCCGCGUGCAGGAUGAAGGCCUUCGGGUUGUAAACUGCUUUUGUACGGAACGAAAAGACUCUGGUUAAUACCUGGGGUCCAUGACGGUACCGUAAGAAUAAGCACCGGCUAACUACGUGCCAGCAGCCGCGGUAAUACGUAGGGUGCGAGCGUUAAUCGGAAUUACUGGGCGUAAAGCGUGCGCAGGCGGUUAUAUAAGACAGAUGUGAAAUCCCCGGGCUCAACCUGGGAACUGCAUUUGUGACUGUAUAGCUAGAGUACGGCAGAGGGGGAUGGAAUUCCGCGUGUAGCAGUGAAAUGCGUAGAUAUGCGGAGGAACACCGAUGGCGAAGGCAAUCCCCUGGGCCUGUACUGACGCUCAUGCACGAAAGCGUGGGGAGCAAACAGGAUUAGAUACCCUGGUAGUCCACGCCCUAAACGAUGUCAACUGGUUGUUGGGUCUUCACUGACUCAGUAACGAAGCUAACGCGUGAAGUUGACCGCCUGGGGAAGUACGGCCGCAAGGUUGAAACUUCAAUUGAUUGACGG